rnacentral:pre_miRNA from 1 species
AACAUACUCCCUCCGUCCGAAAAAGCUUGUCCCAAGCUUGUCCCUCAAAUGGAUGUAUCUAGCACUAACUUGGUGCUAGAUACAUUCAUUUGAGGGGCAAGCUUUUUCGGACGGAGGGAGUACUGC